rnacentral:rRNA from 1 species
UACGUAGGGUGCAAGCGUUGUCCGGAAUUAUUGGGCGUAAAGAGCUUGUAGGCGGUUUGUCGCGUCUGCUGUGAAAUUUCGGGGCUCAACCCCGAACUUGCAGUGGGUACGGACAGACUAGAGUGUGGUAGGGGAGACUGGAAUUCCUGGUGUAGCGGUGAAAUGCGCAGAUAUCAGGAGGAACACCGAUGGCGAAGGCAGGUCUCUGGGCCACUACUGACGCUGAGAAGCGAAAGCAUGGGGAGCGAACAGG